GUGAAAUGGUAGAUAAAGCAGGUCGGCAGGGGACUAGAUAAGGCAUACGGUACAUAAAAACUGUAAUAUAUAGACGUGUGUAAUUGAAGUAAUCUUGGCAAAUGCACCUACUAAAAAUGUAGUCAGAACAGUUUGAAUAGACGUCUAUCAAACAUUAUGUCUGCAAAACUGUUUCACAGAUUGGAACAACAGAGAAAUAUACUGUUUAUUCGCAGAGGAUGUUCCCCUCUCGUUACACUGAAACAAAGAUAGAGGGAAAUAUAUUAAGCAGUUGUGCACAUAGUAUAAUAGAUAUAUGAAUUUCAUUUCAGAGAUAUACUUUGUAGUUUUACGUGCACAAUGUGGAUAUUUUUAGUGUUUCUACGCUUCAUUGUAUGAAAUUAUCAAAGACAAGAAUUUAAAUCAGCAUGUAAAAUUUGCACGUAAAUCAUGUAUAUAAAUGAACUAAUGUUAUGCAUGUAGUUAUGUAGAAGUGUCAGAACUGAUCCCCCACCCUUAAGAAAUAUCAAAAUAAAGCUUUGUAGUUUGCUAUGAUUUAAAGCUUUAGGUUGGAUUUGGUCAUUUUGCGCUAUGAGGUUUAAACACCUGUCUCGUUUUAAACGUGGCGUUUUAAAUUUAUACUUGUAUAAUGUUAGAAAAUUCCUUGAUUAUAUGUUGCUUGAAAUCAAAUACAAUGGGAUAUCUUGUCAGCAAGUUAAUGAAUUGUGCAAGGUAUAAACUUAUGAAUUUAAUACAAUAUUUAAUCCUUUUCAGUAAUUGAAGUUCUAGUCCCCGAUGCCCCUAAGAUUUAGGUGAGCUCACUUUUCAUCUCAGCAUCUUGUUUCUCAACAUAUGCUGUGUAUAAAAGAGAUAUUUAGAUCAAUAGUGAGCUCGUCUCUUUCUAAUGAUUUAGGGGACAUAUUAGCAUACAUGUUUUAUUGAUUGAUUGAAUAUUGUUUAACGUCCCUCUAGAGAUAUUUCACUCAUAGGGAGACGUCACCAUUUGCCGGUGAAGAGCUGCAAAAUAUAGGCCUAUGCUCGGCGCUUAUGGCCUUUGAGCAGGGAGGGAUCUUUAUCGUAUCACACCUGCUGUGACACGGGACCUGGGUUUUUUGCGGUCUCAUCCGAAGGACUGGGGCGCCCCAUUUAGUCGCCUCUCAUGACGAUCUAGGGGUACUGAGGACCUAUUCUAACCCGGAUCCCCAUGGGAUGCAUACAUGUUUUACGUAUGCUAUGUAUAAAUAUGAUCAUAAUAAACAGCACUUUAAGACGUUUCAGUUAAAAUUUGGAUUUAACAAAUAAAACACAUUAUACUAACAGCUUAAUUUUAUGUCAUUACUCUUUUAGUAGAAAUUCGAACGUGCAAAUAAGUACAGUGUAUCAGAGAAAGAUUUGGCAGAACAGGAACACCUUGUUUCAUACCAGGACCAUGAAAAGAUGGACUACAGCAGCAAGUGUGCUUUACUUCAUGAUUUUUAGAAAUCAUCAAUCACUUGAUCAGCAGAAUUUCAUCCUACUAUGUCUAUAACAAACGUCACACAAAAAUUAUACAUUGCUUCUCAUUAUAUUGAUGUAAAGAAAAUAUAAUCAUUCUGAAUUUGGAGUUCUCUCUUAUAGUACAUAGAGUUUCAAACUAAAGUAUGUGUUGUUUUCCCUUUAAAAUAGGGUAAAUAUGGCACAACGUGAUUGAAGAAUAAAUUUGAUUUUGUUUUUCAAAAUGCGUGUCUUCCUGUAAUGACAGCUGUAGUUUUUCGCGGACCAUGUCACUUUAUUGUUUCUGCGUGAAAAUGCAACGCUAAUCAACGAUGCCUUGUUUUGCUGACCUGACAGAUCCAAAGAGAUACUAACUCUUUUUAAAUAUGAAACCCCUACCGAUGCUGGAAAUCAGAUGGAUACGGUUUUCAUGGACCUAUAAACGAUAUGGUUUGAAAUAUUAACAGGCUGAUGAAGGAAUGUUUUUUCUUGAAUAAUAAUCUAAAAUUCGAAAUGGUCGAAUCUCCUAUCAGCAUGAUGUGCAAGUGACAAGGCUUUGAAGAUACGCUGGUAAACAUGGAAAGAGUUGUGACUUCGCAAUGGGUGCUUAAGCGUUUUACAGCUUGUAAAAUUAUGUUGCAUAGAGUUCGAUCACAAGCGGAGCAAUGCACGUUGAAUAGGGAUUGAUUGCCCGCCAUUCAUUAUUCAACUCAACAGUUUGUUUUAGAAGGACAGAAAACAUAACCGUCUUGGCUGAGGUGAGAAAAAUUUUGAGUACCAUGAAAUGUCAAGAAUAACCAUGUAGGUUCUAGAUAAUCUCCUUGCAAUAUAUGUAAAAUAUGAAAGUAAGAUAAAUUUAGGAUGUACUCAU